rnacentral:rRNA from 1 species
AGCAGCCGCGGUAAUUCCAGCUCCAAUAGCGUAUAUUAAAGUUGUUGCAGUUAAAAAGCUCGUAGUUGAAUUUCGGGGUCAGUAGGCUGGUCGUGCCACUAGUAUGUACUGGUCUCACUGAUUCCUCCUUCCUGAUGAACCGUAAUGCCAUUAAUUUGGUGUUGCGGGGAAACUGGACUGUUACUUUGAAAAAAUUGGAGUGUUUAAAGCAAGCUAACGCUUGAAUACAUUAGCAUGGAAUAAUGAAAUAGGACGAUCGAUCCUAUUUUGUUGGUUUCUAGGAUUGACGUAAUGAUUAAUAGGGAUAGUUGGGGGCAUUAGUAUUCAAUUGUCAGAGGUGAAAUUCUUGGAUUUAUUGAAGACUAACUACUGCGAAAGCAUUUGCCAAGGAUGUUUUCAUUAAUCAAGAACGAAAGUUAGGGGAUCGAAGACGAUCAGAUACCGUCGUAG